GCGCAGCAGGCGCGAAAACUUUACAAUGUGCGAAAGCACGAUAAGGGAACUCUGAGUGCCUCCUAAGGAGGCUGUUCAGGUGUCUAAAAAGCACCUGAAGGAAGGGCUGGGUAAGACCGGUGCCAGCCGCCGCGGUAACACCGGCAGCCCAAGUGGUAGCCACGUUUAUUGGGUCUAAAGCGUCCGUAGCCGGCUGGGUAAGUUCCUUGGGAAAUUUGGCUGCUUAACAGUCAAGCUUUCAGGGAAUACUGCCCGGCUUGGGACCGGGAGAGGUCAGAGGUACUCCAGGGGUAGGGGUGAAAUCCAUUAAUCCUUGGGGGACCACCGGUAGCGAAGGCGUCUGACCAGACCGGGUCCGACGGUGAGGGACGAAGGCUA
rnacentral:rRNA from 1 species